AUGAUCGGCGUCGGCGCCGUCAACGAGUCCAAGCGCGCGAUGCUCGUGUCGGGCAUCGCGGGGUUCGUGUCCGGCGCCUGCAGCAUGGCCAUCGACGAGUUCGUGUCCGUGUACGCGCAGUACAACAUCGAGGUGGCCCAGAUCAAGCGCACCCGCGACGUCGACGGGGGCAGCGGCGACAGGAGCAACCUGCCGAGCCCGACGCUGGCGGCGGGCGCGGCGGCCCUGGCAUUCGCGGCGGGCGCCGCGCUGCCGCUUCUGAGCGGCGGGUUCGUGCGGACGUGGGCGGGCAGGGUAGCGGCCGUGUGCCCGUCGGCCGCCGGUGAGUGCCUCAGCACCGCCCGACGGCGAACACCGGCUUCCCGGUGUCCUUCUCGUAGUGCUCGAGAUCGGCGAACGAGUUGA
rnacentral:rRNA from 1 species